rnacentral:rRNA from 1 species
CAGUAGCCGCGGGAACACGUAGGGUGCGAGCGUUAAUCGGAAUUACUGGGCGUAAAGCGUGCGCAGGCGGCUUUGCAAGACGGAUGUGAAAUCCCCGGGCUCAACCUAGGAACUGCAUUUGUGACUGCAAGACUAGAGUGCGGCAGAGGGAGAUGGAAUUCCGCGUGUAGCAGUGAAAUGCGUAGAUAUGCGGGGGAACACCGAUGGCGAAGGCAAUCUCCUGGGCCUGCACUGACGCUCAUGCACGAAAGCGUGGGGAGCAAACAGGAUUAGAGACCCCCGUAGUCCCUGUCUCUUAUAC